UAAAACCUAAACUGUAAUAUAACUGCAAGAACACAAGAAACUUGAUUGAUUGUGUCAGUUUGCAUCACUGUUGUGUGUUGUUCAUUAGAAUGUAGUCUUCAUUACUUCACAUAACAUUAGUCUGAAAAUUAUGAAUUAAUAUCAGUCAGGAUAAAACAUAAUGUUAAGUUCACCACUAUUAAAAAAACAGAUCUAGAAAUGAUAUGAUUUCUUAUUUGCUUCUUAAAUAUUAGCUAUUCUAAUUAAUACAAAGCAAACUGAAAAGAAAAAAAGGUAUUUUGAUUUACUUUCUUUUCUUCCAGUUGAGGCUGAAGGGCUUGACCACUGUUGAGCUGUUGCAUCAUAGAUGCACAGUGUCACAUCGCCGACCCAUGAAAGCUACAAGUCUUGGACUUGCUGCUCCAGUCCACCCACUGGCUGGCUUCAGACUACAACCGUCUGCAAUGUCAUCAACAGCUGCACUUAAAGUCUCUUGGGCUCAUAUGGGACUUGGUUGUUCUCCAUACUGCAUCAUACAAUAUCAUUUUUCUGUUUUGUUAUAUUAGUACAGACAAACAGUAAGG